rnacentral:rRNA from 1 species
CAAUAGCGUAUAUUAAAGUUGUUGCAGUUAAAAAGCUCGUAGUUGGAUUUGUGGCGUACGGUGGGUUCCGGGCACUUGUUGUCUGAGUAACUUGCUGUUGCCAUCCUUGGGUGGAACCUGUGUGGCAUUAGGUUGUCGUGCAGGGGAUGCCCAUCAUUUACUGUGAAAAAAUUAGAGUGUUCAAAGCAGGCUUAUGCCGUUGAAUAUAUUAGCAUGGAAUAAUGAGAUAGGACUUUUUUGCUAUUUUGUUGGUUUGCGCAAAGAGGUAAUGAUUAAUAGGGACAGUUGGGGGUAUUCGUGUUCCAUUGUCAGAGGUGAAAUUCUUGGAUUUUUGGAAGACGAACUACUGCGAAAGCAUUUACCAAGGAUGUUUUCAUUAA